rnacentral:rRNA from 1 species
GAACGCUGUGCGGCAUGCCUUACACANUGCAAGUCGAAAGGCAGCAUGACCUAGCUUGCUAGGUUGAUGGCGAGUGGCGAACGGGUGAGUAAUGCAUCGGAACGUGCCUUUUAGUGGGGGAUAACGUAGCGAAAGUUACGCUAAUACCGCAUAUUCUCUGAGGAGGAAAGCAGGGGACCUUCGGGCCUUGCGCUAGAAGAGCGGCCGAUGUCGGAUUAGCAUAGUUGGUGAGGUAAAGGCUCACCAAGGCAACGAUCCGUAGCGGGUCUGAGAGGAUGAUCCGCCACACUGGGACUGAGACACGGCCCAGACUCCUNACGGGAGGCAGCAGUGGGGAAUUUUGGACAAUGGGCGCAAGCCUGAUCCAGCCAUGCCGCGUGAGUGAAGAAGGCCUUCGGGUUGUAAAGCUCUUUCGGCUGGGAAGAAAUCGCACUCUCUAACACAGGGUGUGGAUGACGGUACCAGCAUAAGAAGCACCGGCUAACUACGUGCCAGCAGCCGCGGUAAUACGUAGGGUGCGAGCGUUAUUCGGAAUUACUGGGCGUAAAGCGUGCGCAGGCGGUUGUGUAAGACAGACGUGAAAUCCCCGGGCUCAACCUGGGAACUGCGUUUGUGACUGCACGGCUAGAGUACGGCAGAGGGGGGUGGAAUUCCACGUGUAGCAGUGAAAUGCGUAGAGAUGUGGAGGAACACCGAUGGCGAAGGCAGCCCCCUGGGCCAGUACUGACGCUCAUGCACGAAAGCGUGGGGAGCAAACAGGAUUAGAUACCCUGGUAGUCCACGCCCUAAACGAUGUCAACUAGCUGUUGGUGGGGUUAAACCCAUUAGUAGCGUAGCUAACGCGUGAAGUUGACCGCCUGGGGAGUACGGCCGCAAGGUUAAAACUCAAAGGAAUUGACGGGGACCCGCACAAGCGGUGGAUGAUGUGGAUUAAUUCGAUGCAACGCGAAAAACCUUACCUACCCUUGACAUGCCAGGAACUUGCCAGAGAUGGCUUGGUGCCCGAAAGGGAGCCUGGACACAGGUGCUGCAUGGCUGUCGUCAGCUCGUGCGUGAGAUGUUGGGUUAAGUCCCGCAACGAGCGCAACCCUUGUCAUUAGUUGCCAUCAUUCAGUUGGGCACUCUAAUGAGACUGCCGGUGACAAACCGGAGGAAGGUGGGGAUGACGUCAAGUCCUCAUGGCCCUUAUGGGUUAGGGCUUCACACGUCAUACAAUGGUCGGUCCAGAGGGUUGCCAACCCGCGAGGGGGAGCUAAUCCCAGAAAGCCGAUCGUAGUCCGGAUCGCAGUCUGCAACUCGACUGCGUGAAGUCGGAAUCGCUAGUAAUCGCGGAUCAGCAUGCCGCGGUGAAUACGUUCCCGGGUCUUGUACACACCGCCCGUCACACCAUGGGAGCGGGUUCCGCCAGAAGUAGGUAGCCUAACCGCAAGGAGGGCGCUUACCACGGCGGGGUUCGUGACUGGGG